rnacentral:tRNA from 1 species
ACAAGGUGGCUCAGUGGUUAAGGUGAUGGACUGCUAAUCUAUUGUGCAUCGCAUGCGUGGGUUCGAUUCCCACCCUCUGUC